rnacentral:tRNA from 1 species
GGGCCUUUAGCAUAAUCAGGUAAUGCUGGCGACUCAUAAUCGUUAAGAUGCGGGUUCGACCCCCGUGGGGCCCA